rnacentral:lncRNA from 1 species
CACAUUUCAAAGCUCAAAACAUACCCGAAACAACAGAGAAAAUCAAAUGAAAAAUUCAGCAAAGAAGUUUGAGUGUCAGCAGCUCUAAAAACAACAGCAAGCAAACAUUUAUCAACCAGCUAACACCAUAUCUUGAACCCAAAAUAAGAAUCAACCAGUUACUUCAAAUUUUUUUAAAAUCCAAAAGAAAUCACAGAACAACUUCAAUAUAACAGUUCUUGGAUAACAUACUUAAGAAAUAAGGAAGCAUGACCUUUUAUAGAAACCUUUAGGGCAGCAGAAAUGAUUCAAUCUUUUGCUAGUUACCCCCUCUUUGAAUUUUUGUUCUUGCAUUUUGGACCUUAAGUUUAUGUUUUGUUUGUUAAAAUUACCCCCCUCCCCACUUCCUAGAAGCUUUUUAGGCAGUUAUAAAAGAUUUUCCUUAUCCAGACUCCCUAAAUUACCAUUUAAUUUUACUAAUUACUUUCAGCAAACCAAACCUUCAACCAAAUUUCCUAAAGGUCUUUCGGUUACUAAACUACCAGGUUAUAACGACCUUUGUGCUCCUGAACCAUUGAAACCCAAAUUAUGAUCCAAAAGACCACAUACCACAAAUAUAUAAGCUCAAAAAAAAUUCUACAAUUCCGAGCAUCAAGAGAAAAAUCUAACAAAGCAAAAAAAAGAAAAAAAAAAGUGGGACAACAGGCAAACAUGAAAUCAGAAGUACUGAAGAAAAAAGGUUAAUUAAACUAAUAUGUUGAUAAUCACUAAUAUAACCUAAACCUAAACAUGCAAUAGAGAUCAAAUCAAACUAACAAAGAAAGAAAAGGAAAUAAGAAGAAACAGACAUUAUGCGACCCAAAAUGCAUACAAAAAUGAACAGAAAAGAUAAGAGAUAAAUGGAAAGAAAAUAGAAGAAGAUGAGCAUGACAAUAAACAAAAACAAAAUUGAGGGAAAGCACUGAAAUACCUAGAAUAAACAAAUGGAAAAUGGCUUGAAUGGACUUCAUGUGCUUUUUGAUUUGUGGCAAAAAGAAGUGUUAGUCGAUUUGUUCUUGUGAUAACAAACAUCUAGCACUCAUUUUUGCCAAAAUCAUCUUCGAAGGUUAGAGAACAAUGAAAUCGGACCCUUUUAAUAAGGAAUCGGAGGCAGGAACGGGUCUAGGGUUCCAUUUAAGAUAUGAAAUUAGAGAACGAUGAAAGAGAUUUCGGGGAAAUUGAUAGUGAUUUAGUGUUUGAGGGAUUAUGGGGAGUGUGUGCUGAAUUUUUAGGAGGAUUUGGAGGUCGCCGCCGGCAGGAGAUGUUGAAGAAUUCAGAGGCGGCGUGUUAGGGUUUUGGUCUGAGACGAGAGAGGCAUAAGGAGAUAAGUUUUGUACUAGGUUUCUGAAGGUAUUUCGAAAAUUUUUAUUUAAGAUGGGGGGAGGGGAAUCUCUCGG